rnacentral:tRNA from 1 species
GGAAGAUGCGGCUAGUGGUUAGCAACUGGUUUGGAAUACCAGCGUGGGUCUUAGGGCCUAGGGGUUCGAUUCCUCCAUUUUCCG